rnacentral:rRNA from 1 species
UACGAAGGGGGCUAGCGUUGCUCGGAAUUACUGAGCGUAAAGGGCGCGUAGGCGGACAGCUUAGUCAGAGGUAAAAGCCCAGGGCUCAACCUUGGAACUGCCUUUGAUACUGGCUGUCUUGAGUUCGGGAGAGGUGAGUGGAAUGCCGAGUGUAGAGGUGAAAUUCGUAGAUAUUCGGCGGAACACCAGUGGCGAAGGCGACUCACUGGCCCGAUACUGACGCUGAGGCGCGAAAGCGUGGGGAGCAAACAGG